AGACACUGCUCUGCAAAGGAAAGUGGUGUUGGUUUCUGAUGCAUUACAGAGGCUAUAAUAGGGAGUGGCGAUGCCCUAGACUGAGGUCUCAGACGCUAGUUGAUUUUUCUGCCUGUGGCAAGGAGUGUUGUCUUUUAGCAGCCUAAAGCAUUUUGGCUUUUGUAUGUUUUGUUAUUUAGAAAAGAAAAGGAAAUUCAGCAAUAUUGUUCGUGAUGUGGCUGCAGAAUUCCCUGUUGGUGAGGGUUUCAGAAAGUUGUGUGUCCAGCAUACAAUAUCCUUUGUUUCUAAGCAUCUGCAUCCGUCCUUCAAGAAGGCUGUCAGUGAGAAUGUGAUCUGGACGAAACCAUCAUUGCAUCUCCCAUGUGACACAAAUUGGAGAGUUCUCAGCCCAACGUUGGGCUAAGCACCAGACCCUGGUGCCAGAGGAGCUGGAUGUCCUGCUCUCUUUACUGACUUGCAUUUCUAGAUAUCUACCUGUUAAUCAUGACUUUGUGACUUGAAGGCAUUGAACUGCAUGCUAUGAACUGCAAGAGAAGAAAGAGGGUGACUAAUCCACCUCUGUACAGCAGACUGCUCAUCUAUUCAGAUUUCCUAAGAGAGGCCGCCAUGGUCCUGUCCAGCUGAAGAACUACACUUUCCCCUCCAAAAAGCUCAGGAUAGGAAGAGAAGAAGAAGCAAGCACAAGCCAGAGUCAGCAGCACUCCUUGUGGAAUGAACAUAUGUAUAUAUUUGACCCAACCACUGGGGCCACCCUCAUGUGAGGGGAAUCAUCCCAAAGGCACAAAGCUCUGACUACGGCAACACCCGAUUUGUACCUGUAAGGGGAAGGGGAAGGCAGAGCUGACUGAGACUGAAACCUACUUUGUGUUGGACACCCCUUUCUGAAAAGCAGACCUUGUCCACAAGGUCAGGCAAGAAGUAUUUUGGCAAAGUCAAAACGAGCUGGCAAAUAUUUCAGUAGAUGUGCUAAUAGGACACACAAAGGGAAGGAUCCAGAACUGAACUGAGGUGAAUCGAGGUGCUGAUAAAACAAGUGAGAACUGCCUGGGUCUGUUGUUGCCCCAGAACAGCUAUGAAUGCAGCCCAGCACAAAAUCACGAACUGACAUAAAACAUUGCUAUCUUUUCUGUAAGGGAAAUGUAUGCUUCAGAAGCAUGAACUUUGUGGAUAGGAACAUUGCAUUGCAAUGUCAAAAUGUUGGACACAUGCCCAGAGGAAACACACAGUUUCAUACUAAUGGUCUUUGAAAGCCUAGCCAGCGUUCCUCUGGUAUGAACUGUUUGUAAAGAAAGAGGUCUAGCUGUCUUCUGGUAACGUGGUAUGCCUUUAUCGUGUUCUAAUAGACACAUCUAUAUAUUUUCCAAGCACAUAUUUGUAGAGUAAGUACUAUAGAUUAAGCACUAUAUACUACAAGAGACACAUGUUGAUUAUGUUAGCAAGAGUAGGUGGGGGGGGAAGGAAUGUAUUUUUUGAGUUUCAUAGGUACCAACACUCCCAGCCACAUGCUUUCUGUCCAGUAAGUGUUCAAAGCAGGCUUACUGAAUUGAACAAUAAUACAUUCCACUGAAAUAUGUUCCCUGACCUCAUGGAAACUAGAGAAGAGUGACCAGAAUCUUUAGUAAGUAAGGAAUAGGUUUAUAGCCAAAAAUAUGAUCUGAAUUCAUCUGGCUUUGCUGUCUUGCUCAUUAAAGAAAAUACUUACAUGCUUUCUUUUUCUUUACCCAUAUUAUUUUCCUCAUUUUUCUUUCUGUAAAGUUUCUCAUUAAUGUAAUUAAAUAUAAAUGAACACUCCAUGUUUCAAGAAACAGAAGAGCCAAGUAGUGUGUGUGUGUGUGUGUGUGUGUGUGACUGCUGCAUGUUCAAAUCUGUGCCCUUCAUUCAGCUUCCUGUUGUUCUGCAGUGUGUCAGUUUGACAUAUAUUAUUUGUAAAAGGAACAGGAAGUGAUUGCUAAGUGUGAUUCUUUUGUAACCCAUCAUGGAAUUGUAGGCUUAGGAAGGACUGGUUUUUCAUUAAAAUCUCAGCCAACAAUUCCAGACAUCUAUCAAGUGGGCAAAUGUGACCUACUAAGCCUUUCAUAAGGAACAUGAUGAUCAGUUUUUCUCAGUGCUGUAACCUGUCCUUUUAUAUAUCUGUCAUUAUUCCAGAUACUUUGAUAUCUCUAUCAAGGACACAGGUUAGUCUGAUGCAUAUGGGCCUAUGGUUACCUAAUUUCAUUUUCAUUUGACCUUCAACCUUCACAAACGUCCUGUAGGGUUGCAUAGAUACCUGUAGGCGAAAUAAGCACUUCAUAGUCGUUAUCAAUUCAUGGUCUCCCAUUCAAUGUUGACAUUAUCACACUAUAUCUUUAGUAUCUAUUCAACAACAAGCCACAAUGAACAAAAUCUAUUCUAAGCUUACCACCUGUUAAAAUAAUGCAUGCCAUAAUAGCAGAACACCAAAUGUCUAACACUUACUUGACACUUUAUAAUAGGCCAGGCAUAAAUUCAAACACUUUUUUUUUUUUUUUUGUGCUUGUGGUAACUCUUAUAGAUAGAAAAACGAAAAACAUCCUGGAACACAGGACAAAGUAAUUCAUCUAAGAAAUAAGAAAGCAAGGGUAAAAACUACACAAUAUGUUUUCAAUAUGUGACAGUACUAUUUAGAUGCUUAUUUAAAGAAUGUGAGAGGCAGUUAUCCAGUUGACAGAUCCUAGUUGGUAGCUGUAGUAUUGUCAUGGGUAUGACUGGGGCAAUUAACAUAUGCAGACUCAGAAAAUGUUACAGGAUCAAUGGUAUGGAAUUUGCAACAGUGUUGUCAAAGGGUGAGGCUGUCAAGGCCGUGUGAUAUGGUUCUGGGUCCUUAUGACACUGGCAAUUUUAGUCUUAAAAUCAGUAUUUAGGCCUUGGGCAGUAAAAGAAGUUGUAGCAGCCGGGAUAGCAGUAGCAGUAGCAGUGGCGGCAGCAGCAGGAGGAGGAUAGACAGAUACCGUUGUUGAACUGUGGGGACAAGGCAGUCAUUUAGGUAAUGGAGAAUUGCAGUAUACCAUGAUCUGAAGAAAAAGACAAAGGUUAAAGAACACAAAGAUGUGCCUAUCAGAAGUAAGGAAGAAGCUCAGGGGUUUCUACUGAACUCUUUUUGUUCACUGUUCACUGCUGAACAAUUGCUACUGACAGAUUUAGGGAGGGAGGGAUCAUUGUCUUCAGUUGUGUACCCACUGGUUGCCCCAUCAUACACAAUAGAUAGCUCAAUCCAAUGCUCAGCUGACACUGGUUAAUUAAACGGGUCACAAAACAGCAACAAGGACUAAAGGAUUUGGGAAAGGAGCUGUUAAGGACUGAAGUAGGCUCACAGGAAGGGGAGGGAGAUAAAAAAGGAUGUUGGGAGAGAGAAUAAUCCUAAUAUACUAUCAACAUGUCUAAAAUUGUCAACAAAAUUAAUCAAAAAGUUUUUUAGUUAGGCAAAUUUCAGGGCACCUAUUCAGUAUCUUCUAAUGCCUGGAAGGCCUCUCCAUUAGGAGACACUUGUACUUGACCAUUCUCUCACACUUCUGAGUUAGGACACAGUUCUUUCACUUGUGGUGAUCUUUGAUAUUGUCUGUAAUCUUCAUCUUCCAGCCUUGUGGGGGACAAGCAUACUUGGAAGCUCUUCCACGGUGGGAGAUCAGUGUUCUGAAUGGCUCACAAAACUUACUCAUAUAUUUCAGAUUUAUGAAACUCCUCACAAGAAAGUGACUAUGACUCUAAGCAAACAAACAAAGCUGGAACCAGAGAAAGAAGUAAUCAUGUAGGCAGAGCACCUGACACAUGCCAUAUGUAGAACUCAUGAACCUCAGUUUACUUACUUUUAAACUAGACACAUAGAGGAGUCGAUUGGGUAGAUGUCAUUGCAGGACAUUUUCAUGAUUUUGAUUAGUCAACACUGAAAGUUAAAAUGAUCAUGAAGUAAGAAAAAGGGAUUGGUUUGAUUUAUUCUAAAUAUUUUCUACAAACCCUUUGAGACAUUUUCCCUGGCUUUAUAAAAUUCCAUUUUUAUGUAAAUUUAGAAAAUGAAUGCAUAUUUAUUUGCACAGUUAUAAUUUGAUACUUCAAAACAACAUUUAAUGGCAUUUUGUCUGUCUUGAGUCAUAAAAAUGACUAAGAACCAUCCUGGCUUAAGAAGAAGAUGUUUCAGAGACACCACGCACCCAGUAUAUUCUGUCCAAUGGGUCAUGGUGUUUCUGUUAAGCCAUGAUGAAUUAAGACAUUAUUAGGGGCUGAUUUGAUAAUAGCUGUUAUUAAAAUGUCCAUUCAGUUAGAAUAACUGUUAUUUAGGUCCUUUUAGAGUUAGGCUCUAAGAAAAACAACUCCACUCUGGAAUGUGGCCAUUGAAUUGUUCUGAAAAAAAAAAAAGUUAACAAAAAGAGUUAGUUAUACACAGUAGUUACCUAAUACUCUCAAUGUUUGAAGGCCACAGAAAUAGUCUCUGCCUUAUUUAAAAAUAAAAUGAAUUUAGUAGGAGGUAAAAUGGGAAGGCUCAGAGAAUUGAAGGAAAACCUGGGGAAAGGAACAGUCAUCAUGGAAGUUGUGUUUGCCCUCUGCCUUAUCAGAGACAGAGUCAAGGGGAGGCUUCCGUUACCAUCUCUGGACACUUACUGUCAUACCAGUGCCUUCAUGACACAGACUUUUGGUCAAAUCAUCUCUACUGCUGUGAGAGUUUGAGUUACUGAUUGAAGGUUAAAAGUUCUCUGGGUAGUAAGAGCUCCCACUUGGUCAUAUGUGUGUCACACGCAGAUUUUUGCUAUUAGAAAAUAGAGUAUCAAGCUUCCUCUGGCUUCUAGAUAUACAUACCAAUUCAGAACAGUUCCUUCAUCAAUAUGUUGACUGUUGCUAGUAUAAAUGUAUUGUAUCCUUAAAAUCAGAAUAAGUAAACUUAUUGUAAAAACACAUAUAGAGAGUAUUUUUUUUAAAUCAAAGAAACUCAAGCCCAACUCUAAGCCACUUUGUGAACAUUUUUAUGCACAUACCCACAUAUGCAUAUACAUUUCUAUAAAGUGAAUUCCUAUAAAAAUACAUAAAAAUUUCUAAUGCAAGAAAUGUUUUUGCUGAACUCACAGACAAACUUUGGGCAAACCACAGGGAGUCUUAUGGAAGAAGUGGGAAGAGGGCAGGCAGGAUAAAAGGACCUGGAGGGAAAAGGAGCUCCACAGGGAGACCAACAAAACCAAUAAAUCUGUGCCCAGGGAGGCCUGCAGAGACUGAUGCAACAACCAAGGACCAUGCAUGGAGAAAACCCAGACGUCCAUAGACAGUUCAGUCUCCAUGUGGUUUCCCUAGUAAGGGGAGCAGGGGCUGUCUCUGACAUGAACUUGGUUGCUUGCUCCUUGAUCAUCUCUCCCAAGGCAGAGUAGUCUUGCCAGGCCACAGAGGAAGAGGUCCAAGGCAGUCCUGAUGAGACUUGAGAGGCUGGGGUCAGAUGGUAGGG